AUUGAACGCUGGCGGCAGGCCUAACACAUGCAAGUCGGACGGUAGCACAGAGAGCUUGCUCUCGGGUGACGAGUGGCGGACGGGUGAGUAAUGUCUGGGGAUCUGCCCGAUAGAGGGGGAUAACCACCGGAAACGGUGGCUAAUACCGCAUAACGUCGCAAGACCAAAGAGGGGGACCUUCGGGCCUCUCACUAUCGGAUGAACCCAGAUGGGAUUAGCUAGUAGGCGGGGUAACGGCCCACCUAGGCGACGAUCCCUAGCUGGUCUGAGAGGAUAAACAGCCACCAUGGAACUAAGACACGGCACAGACUCCUACGGGAGGCAGCAGUGGGGAAUAUUGCACAAUGGGCGCAAGCCUGAUGCGGCAAUGCCGGGGGUAUGAAGAAGGCCUUAGGGUUGUAAAGUACUUUCAGCGGGGAGGAAGGCGAUGUGGUUAAUAACCGCAUUGAUUGACGUUACCCGCAGAAGAAGCACCGGCUAACUCCGUGCCAGCAGCCGCCGUAA
rnacentral:rRNA from 1 species